rnacentral:rRNA from 1 species
ACUCCUACGGGAGGCAGCAGUGGGGAAUAUUGCACAAUGGGGGAAACCCUGAUGCAGCCAUGCCGCGUGUGUGAAGAAGGCCUUCGGGUUGUAAAGCACUUUCAGUAGGGAGGAAGGUAGUGUAGUUAACACCUGCAUUAUUUGACGUUACCUACAGAAGAAGCACCGGCUAACUCCGUGCCAGCAGCCGCGGUAAUACGGAGGGUGCGAGCGUUAAUCGGAAUUACUGGGCGUAAAGCGCAUGCAGGCGGCCUGUUAAGUCAGAUGUGAAAGCCCGGGGCUUAACCUCGGAAUUGCAUUUGAAACUGGCAGACUAGAGUCUUGUAGAGGGGGGUAGAAUUUCAGGUGUAGCGGUGAAAUGCGUAGAGAUCUAGAAGGAAUACCCAGUGGCGAAGGCGGCCCCCUGGACAAAGACUGACGCUCAGAUGCGAAAGCGU